rnacentral:rRNA from 1 species
CCUACGGGUGGCAGCAGUGAGGAAUAUUGGUCAAUGGACGAGAGUCUGAACCAGCCAAGUAGCGUGAAGGAUGACUGCCCUAUGGGUUGUAAACUUCUUUUAUAUGGGAAUAAAACGUUCCACGUGUGGGAUUUUGUAUGUACCAUAUGAAUAAGGAUCGGCUAACUCCGUGCCAGCAGCCGCGGUAAUACGGAGGAUCCGAGCGUUAUCCGGAUUUAUUGGGUUUAAAGGGAGCGUAGGUGGAUUGUUAAGUCAGUUGUGAAAGUUUUCGGCUCAACCGUAAAAUUGCAGUUGAAACUGGCAGUCUUGAGUACAGUAGAGGUGGGCGGAAUUCGUGGUGUAGCGGUGAAAUGCUUAGAUAUCACGAAGAACUCCGAUUGCGAAGGCAGUUCACUGGACUGCAACUGACACUGAGGCGCGAAAGUGUGGGUAUCAAACAGGAUUAGAUACCCCUGUAGUC